rnacentral:rRNA from 1 species
CAGUCGCCGCGGGAAUACGUAGGGUGCAAGCGUUAAUCGGAAUUACUGGGCGUAAAGCGUGCGCAGGCGGUGUUGUAAGACUGAUGUGAAAUCCCCGGGCUCAACCUGGGAACUGCAUUGGUGACUGCAACGCUGGAGUGCGGCAGAGGGGGAUGGAAUUCCGCGUGUAGCAGUGAAAUGCGUAGAUAUGCGGAGGAACACCGAUGGCGAAGGCAAUCCCCUGGGCCUGCACUGACGCUCAUGCACGAAAACGUGGGGAGCAAACAGGAUUAGAUACCCCCGUAGUCCCUGUCUCUUAUAC